GACCUGGUGGUGUAGCUGGUAACAUGCACAUUUACUGUAGGAGGACGACACAUAAUCUUUAAAAUGUGAGACCCUCGUUCGAUUUGAGGUCAGGUCA